rnacentral:rRNA from 1 species
UGACUNGAGUGCAGAAGGGGAGAGUGGAAUUCCAUGUGUAGCGGUGAAAUGCGUAGAUAUAUGGAGGANCACCAGUGGCGAAAGCGGCUCUCUGGUCUGUCACUGACGCUGAGGCUCGAAAGCGUGGGUAGCGAACAGGAUUAGAUACCCUGGUAGUNCACGCCGUAAACGAUGAGUGCUAGGUGUUAGGCCCUUUCCGGGGCUUAGUGCCGGAGCUAACGCAAUAAGCACUCCGCCUGGGGAGUACGACCGCAAGGUUGAAACUCAAAGGAAUUGACGGGGGCCCGCACAAGCGGUGGAGCAUGUGGUUUAAUUCGAAGCAACGCGAAGAACCUUACCAGGUCUUGACAUCCCGAUGCUAUUCUUAGAGAUAGGAAGUUACUUCGGUACAUCGGAGACAGGUGGUGCAUGGUUGUCGUCAGCUCGUGUCGUGAGAUGUUGGGUUAAGUCCCGCAACGAGCGCAACCCUUAUUGUUAGUUGCCAUCAUUAAGUUGGGCACUCUAGCGAGACUGCCGGUAAUAAACCGGAGGAAGGUGGGGAUGACGUCAAAUCAUCAUGCCCCUUAUGACCUGGGCUACACACGUGCUACAAUGGUCGGUACAACGAGUUGCGAGCCGGUGACGGCAAGCUAAUCUCUGAAAGCCGAUCUCAGUUCGGAUUGGAGGCUGCAACUCGCCUCCAUGAAGUCGGAAUCGCUAGUAAUCGCGGAUCAGCACGCCGCGGUGAAUACGUUCCCGGGCCUUGUACACACCGCCCGUCACACCACGAGAGUUUGUAACACCCGAAGUCGGUGAGGUAACCUUUUAGGGGCC